GAGUGUAAGCUGCUAUAUGAAGGGAUCCACAAGACGAAUAAUUAAGGGGGACCUCUGAUCAACAGCCAGCAAGGAACUGAAUCCCUCAGACCCACAACUCACAAGAAACUGAAGCUGAAGCAGAUUCUUCCUCAGUCAAGCUUCAGGUGCCCAGCUGUAUUGGUAGAGGAGACCAACCACACCCUCCACAGCACAGCACCUGGAGAGGAACUGCUGCCAUGACCAUAGAGGACACCCUCUGGAUACAAUGCCAGACUUGAUGUGGGACUGACCAACCUAUGGACCCCAGGCACCACCACCCAGACCUGCUCAGCACCUGAAACAUUCACAGCCGUGGAGAGAGAACUGUUCACUGCUACCAUCCACACUUCUGGGCCCCUUCAGCAGCAGGGUGACAAGGAAGAGGGAAAUCGACUUGGAAAAGAGGGGACCUCUGACCCAAGAGUUCGGUCAAUGCAUAUGUUGGCAGCCAGCUGCACAUCGCACCAAAUAUGAACUUCAAAUAGAAGAAAGCCUCAUUUGGAAGAAAGCUCAUGCACAGACUCAUCAAUUUUGCAGCAGCCAUGGCUUGUCCUAUGAGAGAUGAUUCUACCACAAGAACCCAACCACAAGGACGGCUCCUCUUUGAAGUUUUUACAGUCGAUCUCUGGAUCAGCCAGCGAAGUCCUGCUCCCAGGAUCCAGGGAGAGACCAUGGGUGCCCUCUAGGGCAUGGUACAAAGGGAGGAUUUGUUCCAGUAGAGAAUAGAAUAGGCCUUUUCUUUCACCUUUUGGUUUCCAGGUGCUGAACUACAUGUAGGAGUCUUGGUAGUAAAACCAAGCUUAAUGGUUAUUGAAAUAGAACUACCAGAGAGGUGGUAGAAGCACAUGUUUUGUACAAGUUGGUUAACUGCCAGCAGCUUUGAAUCGUGUAACUGCUUACAAAAAAUUUCACAUGGUCCAGGAAUAAGAGGAAACAAAUGUAUGAAAAACAAAUUCCCAGAUACUUACAUUUAAAAUAAAAAGCAAACUAACAAUAA
rnacentral:lncRNA from 1 species